CCUACGGGAGGCAGCAGUGGGGGAUAUUGGACAAUGGGGGGAACCCUGAUCCAGCGACGCCGCGUGAGUGAAGAAGUAUCUCGGUAUGUAAAGCUCUAUCAGCAGGGACGAAGAAAUGACGGUACCUGAGUAAGAAUCCCCGGCUAACUACGUGCCAGCAGCCGCGGUAAUACGUAGGGGGCAAGCGUUAUCCGGAAUUACUGGGUGGAAAGGGAGCGUAGACGGUGAUGUAAGUCUGGAGUGAAAGGCGGGGGCCCAACCCCCGGACUGCUUUGGAGACUAUGUGACUGGAGUGCAGGAGAGGGGGGCGGAAUUCCUAGUGUAGCAGUGAAAUGCGUAGAUAUGAGGAGGAACACCGGUGGCGAAGGCGGCUUACUGGACUGUAACUGACGUUGAGGCUCGAAAGCGUGGGGAGCAAACAGGAUUAGAUACCCCUGUAGUC
rnacentral:rRNA from 1 species